rnacentral:rRNA from 1 species
UACGAAGGGGGCUAGCGUUGCUCGGAAUUACUGGGCGUAAAGCGUGCGCAGGCGGUUUGCUAAGACAGGUGUGAAAUCCCCGGGCUUAACCUGGGAACUGCGCUUGUAACUGGCAAGCUAGAGUGUGGCAGAGGGGGGUGGAAUUCCAGGUGUAGCAGUGAAAUGCGUAGAGAUCUGGAGGAACACCGAUGGCGAAGGCAGCCCCCUGGGCUAACACUGACGCUCAUGCACGAAAGCGUGGGGAGCAAACAGG